rnacentral:lncRNA from 1 species
GGAUUAAGAUUCAGGAGAAGAUGAAAAUCCAGAGAAGAUGUUGGUACUGGGACUGCUUUUGACCAUGGGGCAGUUGAAAAUCUGAAAUAUGGUUAAGAAAGUGAGAAGCACCUUCCCAGUCCUGUGAGGUGAGGGGACAUGAAGUUGGAGCCCUGAGCCCACCAAGAUAUAACCUGCUAUACUUUAGUCUCAGUCUCAGCAGAGAUGUCCAUCCUAGAGGUAAGGGUGAAACGGAAGUAAAAUAGCCCUUGCAUGAACUUAGCCUAGUUCUGGGCAUCUGAGUGAACAAGAAAUCUCAUGUCCUGAAGUUGGAAUUAAGAAUAAUGAAUUGAUAGUGUCUCAAGGCUUGAUAGAACCAAUAAAAAUUAACUAUAAAAAGUAACAUCAGUUUAGACUUCAAAAUAUUUCUACCAGUAAUUUUAAAAAUACAAUGUCAAGCACAUAGCUAAAAAACUCCAACAAAACAAAAAACUGGAUACAUGAAGGUCCAUACUCAUCUGGGAAAGAACCAGUGAAAACAAGAAGUAACAUAUCCCAUAAGAAUAUCAGAUGUGGGAAUUAUCAGUGAGAGACUAUAGAACUAUGCUUACUAUUUUUAAGAAGAGAAAGGAUAAGUUUGAAAAAUUUGUCAGAUUAUUGGAAACCAUAAAAAGUGCAAAGAGGGUUUAAAUUAAAACAAAGUAAGCUCUAGAACUUAAAAAUCUAAUAACAAUUAAAAUGUAUAGAUUUAAUGACAUAUAACUGAAGAGAAAUUAGUAAGCUGUAAGAUUAGUUUGAGGAAAAUACACAAAAUAAAGCACAUAAAGGCAAAAUGUAAUAAGAAAACAUAAUACAAGGAGAGGGUAUAAUUAAAAGGUCCAACACAUGUCCAUUUGGAGAUUUGGAAGGAACAGUGUCAUGAGCCUUGAGAAUAAAAUAAUUGCUAAAAUUUGUAAUAUUUAUCAAUAAUAAUUGAUAAAUUAUUGACAAUGUUCCUAAAAGACAUUAAUAUAUAUGUAUAUAUGUGUGUAUAUAUGUAUAUGUAUGUAUCAUACACACACACACACACACACACAUAUAUAUAUAAAAUCCCAAGAAAUCUUAGGAUAAAUAUAAAGGAUAUAUUGAGGUGUUGUUAUAGAGAAGUCCUUAAAACUGCCAGAGAUAAAAAGAUUACUUUUUUUCAUUUUCUUUUUAAUUUAAAUUCAAGUUGCCAACAUAUAGUAUAAUACCCAGUGCUCAUCCCAUCAAGGGCCUCCUUAGUGCCCAUCACCCAGUCACCUCAUACCCCCCACUUUCUCCCCUUCUGCAACCCUUUGUUUCCCAGAAAAGGGAGUCUCUCAUGGUUUGACUUCUAAUUUUCUCCACUUAAUUCCCCUUCUUUCCUUUAUAGUCUCUUUCACUAUUUCUUAUAUUCCACAUAUGAGUGAAACCAGAUGAUUGUCCUUCUCCGAUUGACUUAUUUCACUCAGCAUAAUACCCUUCAGUUCCAUCCAUGUCCAUAUAAAGAGUAGGUAUCCAUCCUUUCUGAUGGCUGAGUAAUAUUCCAUUGUGUAUAUAUACCACACCUUCUUUAUCCAUUCAUCUGUUGAAGGACAUCAUGGCUCCUUCCACAGUUUGGCUAUUGUGGAAAUUGCUGCUAUGAACAUUGGUGUGCAGAUGUCCUGUCAUUUCACUACAUCUGUACUGGGGAAAAUACCCAGUGGUGUAAUUGCUGAGUCAUAGGGUAGCUCUAUUUUUAACUUCUUUUUUUUUUUAUUUUUUUUAUUUUUUAAAGAUUUUUAAAAAAUUUUUUUAUUUAUGAUAGUCACAGAGAGAGAGAGAGAGAGAGAGGCAGAGACACAGGCAGAGGGAGAAGCAGGCUCCAUGCACAGGGAGCCCGAUGUGGGACUCCAUCCCGGGUCUCCAGGAUCGCUCCCUGGGCCAAAGGCAGGCGCCAAACAGCUGCGCCACCCAGGGAUCCCUAUUUUUAACUUCUUGAGGAACCUCUACCCUGUUUUCCAGAGUGGCUGUACCAGUUUGCAUUCCCACCAACAGCGCAAGAGAGUUCCCACUUCUCUCCAUCCUCUCCAACAUU